rnacentral:sRNA from 1 species
CCGCAGGUCCGGGUCUCACGUAGUGAGACAACGGAGCCGCUUGCGGCGACGGCCCGAAGGGCGAGCAAAGCGAGUCAUUCUGCACGACCCACCA